rnacentral:lncRNA from 1 species
GCGGACUUUAAAAAGUAUGUACUUGUAUGAUUGUGUGUUAAUAGUAAAAAACAAAUAUUGAAAUGUCAGCUGUAAUUUUUGGUAUUUGAGACAUUUAAAAAUUGAAAACACGAUGCCCGAUUGUAUUAAAUACACAAGAAAGCAAUAUAUAAAACAGCACUUUUCUUGCAGUUAAUCAUCAAAACUAGCUCUAUGCGCACUAAAUUAUGUACAUUUUUGGGGUUGUAUUUUUAUUUAGCAAAUACCAAAUUCCAAUGAAUCAAUAAAUUCUUCUAUCGAAAAUGCAUGUUCAUGUUAAUAUAAAAUAACCGAAGGUCAUACUUCCUUUGUUUGAAUACGAACAUCAUUUAAGUGCAAUGUAGUCCCAUUGCACCGCCAGAAAAAAGCAACAUGAAUGCAAAAAUUUGGAGAAUACUACAUUUGUUUUAACAAACGCAAGAUAGCAAGUUUUCUUAUAAGGUGCUAAUCGUGUUAUAACAUAAAUGAAAUAAAAUUUAUGUUGGAGUGUUGAUUAGUGUUACAAAUUAAAACGAAUUUCACCGAUAUAAAAUCGAAGAAAAAAAUUAAAUGCAUUUAUGAAUGUCGAUAAAUAUUUUAAUUGCAUAACACGUACAUUUAGCAUAUUGUUUACGCUUGUGAGUCCUUCCAUUUGCUAAAGUGUUCAUCCUUUCAAAUCCUCUUACAGCUUUUUUUACCAGAAUGUUUAUGUAAUACAGCUGUACAACUGUAAUGAUUUUUUUCUUCAAAUUAUUAACACAAAUAUGGUAAGAUUAGUGAUAAGUCAGUUGUGAGAUACCGAAAGGGUAUUCAAAGUAAUACAACGAAGACAAACGAAUAAUGACGAAUAGACAACUCAGCAACAUAAACCAAAACACAAACCAAAACACAAACCAGAUAUUAACUAUAUCAUGUUUAAACUUGUUUAUUUCUAAAUAUUUGGUACACUUUUUGUCCACUCAACGUGUCUAGUUUAUAUACACAUACUUAUGUCCAAGUUUUCUUGAUUUUUAUUUUUAUGAGGAUUUUACUAACUAGUAUACUUAAAAAGACUGAGAACUUACUAAAUGUUUCCGUGUGCAUAUAUCUUCAGAAUUGUCCUUUUAAAACAGAGAGGAGAAAGAUGCCAAAGUGUUAUUUAAUCUAUAUGGCAAAGUGAACUUACAACGCUAUGACAAUAUAAAAAAUACGACGAAGACAACAUAUGUUUCUAAUAUCAGAAGCAGUUGGUACUUUAUUUUAUAUUAUCUUUUAUUUAUCCAGGAAUAAUCGUCCCUGAAACAUAAAAUUUUGUAACAGCGUAUUAUGAUAAUUUUUAAGUCAAAUCAAACGAGUUUCUUGUAAUUAAAAUGUUAAGAAAAUGAUUAUAUUUAACUAAGUCAUCCAUGUACUUUAUCGUCACAUCUAUAACGUAUAAAUUUGACAAUUAUAUUUUACUCAGAGAUUAUUUAUCGGAAACUGGUUGGUCAUUGAUUUCUUGUGAUUUUUUGAUUACGUUUACCGAUCAUGACCUUAAUAAACAAUAAAAAAAAUAAUGAUAUAGCAAGUGAAAAAGCAUGAUGAUAAACACUGCGAUGUUUUUUUUUUAGAUUGUUAAAGGGUUUGACUUUGACGUAUACAAAAAUAAUUGAAUCAAUUGAAAAGUUAUAUUUAUUCCAUGUUAGUUUCUCUUUACUUUUAUCGCGGUAUUCUCCCUUUCAACCUCGCUAUGUGGUUCCAAAACUCAAACAUGAUGUCUCGUUAUUGAGGAACUACACACGGUAAAGCUAUUAUAGGUGUAUUACUGAAAAGUACGGAAAGAUGAUAACUAAUUAGCAGCGCAUUUCUGAAGAUUUGGAUCAGAUACAUGUAAAGGAUUUCCGUUCAAAAGAAUGCCCAUGUACAAGUGUUUUAUAAAAGAGUUCAACCAUCUAAAUGCACAUUUGGUGAAAACAAUGUUGAUUUAUUUCAUAUUAUUACGACCGCUGAGUCGAUAUCUCUGCUGAUGAACUGUUAGUCCUACAGGUUAUAACUAGCCGAGUAGUGAGUGCUUCGGUAUUGUCAUGGAAAGACAGAUAUUUUGUCAUUUUGAUUUCCUGUUACAAAUUUUUUGAAUUAUUUUGAAAUUAAUGAAAAUAUUUCCCUCUUGGUCUGAAUUUUUGUCUUACUUUGGUUAUCCUUGUUAUCCACUAUGCUUAAGGUCUUCAUCUUUUAUAAGUUUUUGGCUUUUAACUAUUUUAGACUUGAUCAUCACCAAAGAGACAUUCAUUGUCGAAAUGAGAUAUGUACUGUUAAUGAAUUUUAAUCUGGAAUGUCAUGACUGUAAUGAACAUAUUCAUUUGACUACGGAUUAUUUUUUUUAAAGCUACUCCAGUGUAUUGUUUGCAAUCUUUUUUUGAUAUUUUGUUGUCUAAAUUUUUGAAUGAGUGACUGCACGUUUUUGAAACUGCUUAAAAUCAGAAAGGACGGAAGAAAAUAGCCAAAUCCGUCUUAGGUUUUGGGCUUUUAAUAUUUUAACCUCGAGCUCCAUUGAUGAUUAUAUCUCACUGAUUAUAAAAAUGCGCAUCUGUUGCAGGAAAUUUGGAACUGUGUUUUAGAAAAGGUCGUUAAUUUGGAGCAUGGAAUUUCGAAAUAAAUACGUAUAACUAUAAUUCGUCAAAUGACAUUCUUCGGAUGUUAAUAAGAAAAUAAAUCAGUCAGUAAUUUGUAUUUCUAUUUUCGGUUUUUUUCUUCACGACAUAUUAUGUCUUAAACUCUUGUUUUUAAAGUAAAACAAUAAAAAAAAAAAACUGAUAAAGUAGCUGGUAAGAUCUUGGUAUUCAGGUGUGAGCAGCAGUGUUAUCUAAAUAUAAAGUUUAUAUAUAUUUAUAAAGUUGAAGACAUCAUGGUGACAUAACAGAUGCCAAUUCUUGCGUCACUAGUUGAAAAGGAUUAAGGAUUUUUAUCUAUUUUGAAAGUACAGUUCUGUCUCUCAUCAAACAUAAUGUUUAUAAGAAUUUUUGAUGUUAUUUCUGGUCGUCUCUAUUGAGUUUAUUCACAUCUUAUCUAGCAAUAGACACGGGGCAAUAUUGAUCAUGUCAUUAACGGUAGAUCACUGUGUUUGUUACAUUAGGUUUUUUUGGGGGUUUGUUUUAAACUUUGCUCAUAUCAAAUCAUAAACAUAUGGUUUGAUGUUUAAUGUUACAGAGUAAAUUUUGGUUUGAUGUGGGAGGUCGUGGGUUAGAUUACUUGCCAGGUCAAAACUUAGAUUUGAAAAUUGUUACGUGGCGUUAAGAAGUAAAGGCAAAGUCUGGUGGACUGGGCGUCAGAAUACGGUGUUUCCGCUAGGGUGACAUAUCAUCUUAAGGACUUCUACCACCUGAACUUGCACGUUACAACUCUCUCUAAUCGUGUUGGUUAAGUAUAAACCAGGUUUAGUGAUAUUGGUUUUAAUAAAUAUAAGUAUAUUGUCUAGCAUUAUUUUCUUCAAUUGAAGCUAAUAACAAUAAAUAAGAACUGCGAUACACUAUGUCAAGCCCGUACAUAUGUCAUACUGAUCUCUCCAUAAGCUUGAUUGCGCAUAUUAUCGUUUAAUAGACUGCGCAUUUGUUAUUUUGUGGUGUAUUAUAAUCUCCAGGGUUAGUGACGUUGAAAUGUAUAAACGUGUAAUAGUACUGAAGAAAAAUAAAAUAACAACUUUUAUAAUUAAUAAAUCUAGCAUUAUAAAUAUGGUCAGUAGGCAUUUGAGUCAUAUCUUUACUACUUUUAAAAGACACACAUUACACAAACAAAUAUAUAUGAAUUUUAAACAUCAUUUGUUAUUCCAGAAUUCAUUAAAUUUUGCAAAACCGGUACUCGAUAGUAUCAAUAGUAUUACAAUUAUCAAAUCCUCUAGCUUUUCAUCUGAUAUUUUCUGACAUGUAUCACCUUUACUGUUUCCGUCCACUUAUUUCUUUGGACCACUUGAAUUUAUUUGUCAUUAACCACAAUUAUACUGCAAAUCUAAAAACACUAUUUGCUAACUUCUUUGCAAUUUCAUUGACGCUGCAUCUUAAAAUCUGACGAUAGGUAGUUUUUAUGUAAAGUAUGCAUGCACUAUAAUAACAAUAACCCUCUCAAGAACGGCUUGUGAGUGAUAUUUAUCGCACAUAUUGAAGCACGCAAUAUAGAAAUGCAUGAUAUUUUGCGGAAUCCUCUUUGAAGAAAUUAGUUAGAUAUCUUUUCGGUCAAUAGUUUGUUCAGCAAGUAGCCAAAGCUACGGAUAGAUAUAAAAGCGUUAUAAAAGUUCGUUUGAUCUUGUAAUAAAAACGAUAUGAUUAAAAAAAGAGGGACGAAAGAUAUCAAAGGGACAGUCAAACUCAUAAAUCUAAAACAAACUGACAACGCCAUGGCUAAAAAUGAAAAAGACAAAACAAACAACAGCACACACGACACAACGUAGAAACUAAAGAAUCAACACACGAACCCACAAAAAACUAGGGGUGAUCUCAGGUGCUCCGGAAGGGUAAGCAGAUCCUGCUCCACAUGCGGCAUUAAUCGAACUCUAGCUUAUUUUGUCAUAUUUUGUACAUGAGAGUUUUUCCACAAAAGCGUCAGCAAUGAUCCUAAUAAAGUUGAACGGAAUUCUAUACAGUAAAGUUGAUUUCUCGUAUUCAAAGAAGCAUUUUAAUUUGGCUCAUAUUGAUAAAAAAAUUAGGCUUUUAAACUGAGUAUUGUUUGUUCGUCUUUUUUCUUUUCUUUUGACUAUAUGGUUGAACUUUUUUUAAGGACUCUCCACCUUAACAUUUUAUUUACUUUUUAAUGUUCCUUUAUUUAUCCUAAGAUGGGUACAUUUUAGCUAAACUCCUUCCCUCGGUUUGGCUAUAGUUGUUUGUAUUUUUGGGCCUCGAGCAUCACUCUAGAGACAAUAAUGGUCGAAAUGCGCAUCUAGUGCAAAUAGAUUAAAUGGUGUUUAUGUUUUUUUUAUGGGUCACAUAAUUAUUUUCUUGUUGAAUGUGUUAUAAUGUCACAGUAUGAAACGACACAUCUGUUGACCUUGUAGAAUAUGUCUUUAAAAUGUUUUACAAUUUUUUAGUAAACAUUGUAUUAAUUUAUUGACAUACGUAAAUCAUUUAUCAGCUGUCACAACAAUCGUAAGUUUUUUCCUUUAGUUACAAAAUCAUUUCGUGUUUUAUGAAGAAACUAAGACUUAAUUGGGAACAAAAUAUGAUGCAAUAAUGAAAGAAUGUUAUGUCUUUUCUGAAAGACAUAAUGAUAAUCUGUUAUACAGCUUUUUAAUUUUUUUAUGCAAAUAUAUAUUGAGUAUAACCCACUUGAGAUUGUUAAUCUCAUUUUAGUUCAACAAAUACUAAAAGCGGGAUAAAGUGUAUAAAGUUGCCUUUAAAGUAGAACUUUUAUUUUGUUGUUAUAAUCAUUCAAUAGUGCUUGGUUGUGUAAAUUUAAAAAAAAAAAACAACAAAAAAACAGAUCUAUUAAAAUUAUCAUCAUUGUGAAUGUCUUCCAAAGUAUCUCAAUACACUAGUAUUAUUUUCAUCAGUUGUAAUCCUUUUUAACUAUAAUAUUCUGCUUAUUUCUAUAACUGCUGUACCCAUAUUUUGACUACUUCAUUUAUUAUGUCUGUUUAGUUCACGCAUCAUUGUAAAUAUAACGGAAUUAGAUGAGACUGUCAUCAAUGUGAGAGGUUUAGCUCUUUAAAACAGGUUAUCCACCAUUUCUAAUUUGAAAAUGCUGUUCCAAGUCAGGAACAUACAGUUCUUGUCCAUUCGUUUUUAUGUUUGUCAUUUGAUUUUGCCAUGUGAUUAUGGACUUUCCGAUUAGAUUUUCCUCUGAGUUAAGUAUUUAUUUUUGUGAUUUUACUUUUUUGGAGUCUGAUAUUAAUCAUACAAUAUAGAAAUAAAUAAAACAAUUUCCAAUCCUUCUUCUUUUUAACUGAUUUCAAGUUUCAAUCAAAAAAGCAAACAUGAUACAUGAUAUAUUGUCAUGAUAAUGAUUGUUAAAAUAACCUCGAUAAGGUAAACGGAUAAACGAUCUCUAUUAGAAAAUGAUUAUGUCGACAUUAUUUUAUUACUUCCCCAGAAAUUAAAAAAAAUGCUUUUGUUAUGAGAUUUUUUAACAGAAAUUCAUUUGAAUAUUCCAUAUUUUUACUUCAGGUGAGAAGGGAAAAGACAUGGAGAAUUACACAAAUGCAACCAAUUUAACUCGAAUUUCAGCAUUUCUACACAAGAACGAUAGUGUUGUUUUCUAUAACUUUGUGGCAGGACUGUAUGUAUAUGCCAUACCAUUAAUCUCCGUCAUCGGCGUCAUUGGAAACGUUUGGUCUUUUAAAGUUUUUGUGUUUACAAGUUUUAACAAACAUCCUUCUAGUAUAUAUCUGGCAAUGCUUGGAGUAUCGGAUACUUGUUUUUUAAUUGCUCUAAUAUUCGGAUGGAUCGGAACAAUACACAAUUCAACGGUGAAUACAGGAGUUUUAUGUUUAGUAUCAGUGUAUAUAGCUUAUGUGUCAAGUUUUUUGUCAGUUUGGUAUGUUGUGUUAAUUAUGGUAGACCGUUUCAUUGUUGUCUGCUUUCCGUUAAGAGGAUAUCGACUUUGUUCAAAACGACGCUCACUUAUUGCUGGAACUGUAGUUACAGUAUUUGGUAUUUUAUUUUAUAGCCAUUCCUUUUUCACAGUUCAAGUUGUUCCAACACCAGGCGGUUUUUCUUGUCAAUUGAACAACGAUUACAGACAUCUUGUAACCGUCAUCACAUAUAUCGAUACGGGUAUAACUUUUGUAUUUCCGUUCGUCGCCAUAUUUGUUUUAAACAUUGUUGUCAUCGUGACUAUUCGGAAAUUUAGCUUCAAGCAUGUGACACUACGCGGAAACAAAUAUUACUCACCGCCCCACAAUAUUCUUUCGAAUGCACAAAUGAGACUGACAGUUAUGUUGAUUGUAGUGGCUAUUGUAUUCCUCGUUCUUAACUUGCCGAGUCAUGGCAUUCGAUUCUACAUUCUAGUUAAAGAUCUUGCACAAACAAAGGAUUUGGUAUUGUUUUUGUCCCAACAGAUAUGUCAAAUAUUAUAUUAUAUCAAUUUUUCGGUGAAUUUUACUUUGUAUGUCUCUUCAAGUAAAACAUUCAGACGUUGUUUGUUUGAAAAAGCCAGAUGUUUAAGGCACUGAUCGUAAAAGGAUAGCAAGCCGUUGAUGAAGGUACAUUUAUAACAAAAUUGUUGUUUUGUAAAUUAUAAUCAAACAUUCCUUUGAUAUGAUAUAAGUUAGGGGAUUUUCUCUAUGUGUGGUCAGAGUCACACGAUUCUGUUAAAUCAUCAAUAUGAACAUGUCCGUGUGUGUGCCCUUGAGAUAUUAAAGUUUCAAUUCCAGAAACUAUGCCGGAAAAUUAGUGUAUCCGUCG